AGCUUCUCCUGUGGCACCAUGAAGCCCUUGAUAGCUCUGACUAGCUUCACCUGGCACCUCCUCUGCCCAUGAGCCUGGCCUGGGCAGUACUAUGGGCAUGCCACUGCCCCCGUCUCCUGAUGUAGGUGUUGAUUUCAGCUUUGGGGACACUGUGUGGUCACAGAUGUGUGGUCCCCAUGGAUGCCUGCCUGCUCAGCCAGGGGCAUCAUUGCGUUGGGCAAGCUGUGGCCUGGGCAGCGACAGUGGUGUCAGAGGACCCAUGGUGGAGCUUUGGAGCUGGACAGUGAAGGUGCCCCAAACUCCACCAAAUGCUGUGGUCAGAUCAGAAGCAUGGGUCACUCAGCCAGAGGGUGGUGUCAUCAUUGCAUAA
rnacentral:lncRNA from 1 species